AUUGAACGCUGGCGGCAUGCUUUACACAUGCAAGUCGAACGGUAACAGGCCGCGAGGUGCUGACGAGUGGCGAACGGGUGAGUAAUGCAUCAGAACGUGCCCAGUCGUGGGGGAUAACGCAGCGAAAGCUGCGCUAAUACCGCAUACGAUCUCUGGAUGAAAGCGGGGGACCGAAAGGCCUCGCGUGAUUGGAGCGGCCGAUGUCAGAUUAGGUAGUUGGUGGGGUAAAGGCCCACCAAGCCAACGAUCUGUAGCUGGUCUGAGAGGACGACCAGCCACACUGGGACUGAGACACGGCCCAGACUCCUACGGGAGGCAGCAGUGGGGAAUUUUGGACAAUGGGCGCAAGCCUGAUCCAGCAAUGCCGCGUGCAGGAAGAAGGCCUUCGGGUUGUAAACUGCUUUUGUACGGAACGAAACGGUCCGGGUUAAUACCCUGGGCUAAUGACGGUACCGUAAGAAUAAGCACCGGCUAACUACGUGCCAGCCGCCGCGGUAACAC
rnacentral:rRNA from 1 species